UAAGACAGAGGGGGCAAGCGUUGCUCGGAAUCACUGGGCGUAAAGGGCGCGUAGGCGGGAUGGCAAGUCAGUCGUGAAAUCUCUCGGCUCAACCGAGAAACGUCGGCUGAUACUGCCGUUCUUGAGGGAUGCAGAGGAGACUGGAAUUCCCGGUGUAGCGGUGAAAUGUGUAGAGAUCGGGAGGAACACCGGUGGCGAAGGCGGGUCUCUGGGCAUUUCCUGACGCUGAGGCGCGAAAGCGUGGGGAGCAAACGGGAUUAGAUACCCCGGUAGUCCUAGCUGUAAACGAUGAGUGCUGGGUGUAGAGGGUAUUAACCCCUUCUGUGCCGAAGCUAACGCAUUAAGCACUCCGCCUGGGGAGUACGGUCGCAAGGCUG
rnacentral:rRNA from 1 species